GUCUCUGUGGCGCAAUGGGUUAGCACAUCUGGCUGUUAACCAGAAGGAUGGUGGUUCGAGCCCACCCAGGGACG